rnacentral:rRNA from 1 species
AAACGACUCUCGGCAACGGAUAUCUCGGCCCUCGCAUCGAUGAAGAACGUAGCGAAAUGCGAUACUUGGUGUGAAUUGCAGAAUCCCGUGAACCGUCGAGUCUUUGAACGCAAGUUGCGCCCCAAGCCUUCUGGCCGAGGGCACGUCUGCCUGGGUGUCACAA